CUGAGAGCCAAAAUCUUCACUUGCCAGGGCUGUAGUGGAAUUAUGGAGAUGAGAGAUUCUCUCCUGAGAAGGAGUGCAUGACUUAGCAGAGGAAUUUCCAAAGGUCUGAGAGUGUCCAGUGCAUGAGGGAGGUGAUGCUUUCCAUGCUCAUGGAGAGGGGCAGCAGGUAAAACUGGAGCAACUUUUAUUCUAAGGCUAAUUAUUUCCCACCACUAAGCUUAUUUCCUGGAGAACAUUUCCAAGGCACAAACAGAGAGGGGAAUUCAAGCAGAGCCCAGCAGUUU
rnacentral:lncRNA from 13 species